CAGCCACAUCACAUUGAAACACUGGUUCUCAUAUGAUCACUGAAGUUAAGCAACAUUGAUCCUGGUCAGUACCUAGAUGAGUGACCACUUGGGAAUACCAGAUGUUGUAAG